UAGCAUGCUGUCCAGUAAUAUUGUGCCAGUGAUCUCUCCCAUGAGAACUUCAAACGUUCCCAAACAAUUUGUGAGAAAAGGUGCUCCACUAAAAAAGAAUUUCAAAAAAAGACAACAUUUUGGAGUAACUCUCAGGGCGAAGAUCACAAACCAUGGACAUCUGGGAACACGGAAGAGUACUGAUGAGAGGUUUGGCAGAAAUUACAAACAAGCGCCACAUGUUUGAUUACCUUACAAUUUUAUGCUCCAGGAAUUCCCCAGACAACAUACCAAGACAGUUAUCAAG